CUCUUAUCAAGAGAGGCAGAGGGACUGGCCCUAUGACGCCCGGCAACCGUUUCUACUAUAGAAAUUGGUGCUAAUUCCUGCAAAGCUGUUACAGCUUUGACAGAUAAGAG
rnacentral:ncRNA from 17 species